GGUAGUUGGGGCGUGCGUCGCGUAGCCGGCCCUGCGAAUAUGGCGUCAGCUUCGGCUUCCGGUCUGAGGGCGCCGAGAGCCCAGCCAAACUCUGCGGACGGCCAUUCCUGGGAUGUGACCACAUAACGGUCAGGCAAGAAGAUGACUGAAUUUAUCUUCUUGGAAUCAUUGCUUCAUAAUUGUUGCUUCCCACCAUUGGCAUUGGAGAAAGGCUGGGCCACAGGAGGCCAGAUGAACUUUGUGUUGGCCAGCGUUUCAUGCCCCAGUGACCCAAGACAGGGUGAGGCGAAGGGGAAGGUUCGGCGGCGCGUGUCCCACAGGUUCAGGGGAGUGCCGGUGCGCCCGGUAGAGGUGGCCCUGCGCGCUUGCCGGACACCGCUUCCGGGACGCGCCCGGGGCUACCCCGCGGCAGAGGUGUGUGCGGCUCCGCGCAGGCUCGCUGAGGAGCUCGGCUUCGCAGACGGAGCAGGCGGACUCGCCGGGAUCCCAGCGCGCUGAAGCAGCCCGCCUCCCCUCGCCCUGCCCUGGCCAGGCUCAGAGGGAAAACCUUCUCAAUUAAAAAGCCACACCUCGUUGCCCCUGCGCUGCAGGCGCCGGGUUGGCUGUGCGCGGCUGGGCGCGGGCUCGCUGAGGAGGUCGGCUUCGCGGACCGAGCGGGCGGCGGCCAGGUGGGAGCUGCAGCGCGUUGAAGCAGCCCUGCGCCCUGGCCAGUGCAUCCAGGAUCCGGAGCAGCCAGGGGCCUGGCCACUCCCACCCAGAGCCCUGCCUUGGCUGAGCUGGUUACUGCUGCGUCUCCCGGGCUGCUGGCAUGCCGGUUAUCAGCAGUGCACAGGUGUCUCUGGCUGUGCCCUGGGGCGUGCUCACGUCCCGAUCUCCUGGGAGGCUGGCCCCUCUGCCCCAGUGGCCGCCUUCCUGGAGGAGACUGGCCUGUUCCCACCUCUCCUGACUCCCAGAGCGGUGGCUGGUGUGGGAAGUCCUGCUUCCUCCCCUUGGUGUCUGCCCUUGUCCAUGGGCUGUUUUCUCCCAGUGCUGAUGUCUCCCCAGCUAGAAGAGGAGACCCUCAAAGGCGCACAGAGCUUCGCGGUGUUCCUGAUUCACACCGAGAGGAAGAAGGGAGUCCAGUCAUCUGCAGUGCUGUUUGGGUACUGGCUUCUCUGCUUUGUGUUGCCAGCUGCCAGCGCCGCCCAGCAGGCCUCUGGAGGGGGCUUCCAGAGUGACCCAGUGUGCCACCUGUCCACCUAUCUGUGCUUGUCUCUAGUGGUGGCACAGUUUGUGCUGUCCUGCCUUGCGGAUCAACCUUCCUUCUAACCUAAAGACCGUCAGCAGUCUGAAAGUCACCAAGUUCCAACCUCAUUCCUGUUCCACUUUGAGGUCUUAGUCUCCCUCAUGUGACCUAAAGUCUAAUUUUUUAUUCAUUUAUCCACUCAGCAAACUGUGAAUUGCAUUUUUACUCGAUGCCACCAUUGGUAGACUUUUUCUGUAUGGGGCAAGAGACUCUGUGAGCCAUACAGUGAUCUCUGCGGCAACUCCUCAACUCUGCCACUGAAGACAAAAGCAGAAUAUGUCAACAAAUUGCAUGGCUGUGUUGCAAUAAAACUUUAUUUGCAGCAACAGGCAGUGGGCCAGAUUUGGUCAUAGUUUGCAGACCCCGCUCUAUCCCCCAGCAAAGGCUUAAGAAUCUAUGGUGAACAAGCAGAGUUCCUGCUCUCAUGUAGCUAGUGGUCAAGUACGGGAACCAGAAAUUACUCACAUAAUUAAAUAUGUUGAAAAUUGGCUGGGCACGGUGGCUCAUGCCUGUAAUCCCAACACUUUGGAGGUCAAGGCAAGUGGAUCACCUGAGGUCGAGAGUUCAGGACCAGCCUGGCCAGCAUGGUAAAACCAGUCUACUAAAAUUACAAAAGUUAGUCGGGCAUGAUAGCACACGCCUGUAAUCCCAGCUUCUUGGGAGGCUGAGGCAGGUGAAUCCUAGAGGUGGAGGUGGAGUGAGCUGAGAUUGCACCAUUGCACUCUAGCCUGGGUGACAAAGAGCAAAAUUCCAUCUCAAAAAAAAAAAAAAAAAAAAAAAAAGAAAGAAAAGAAAAUUACCCCUGGGGUAAGUGCUCUGUAGGAGAAGUUCAUGAGAGUUUUACAACAGGUAACACUGAAGCAAUCUGUGAAAUCAAGAAAUAAUUCUUUUGAGAAAGAGACUGAUCUGACAUCAGAUAAACAGAUGUUCAGAUGGACCGGGUGCAGUGAGCAUGCCUCUAAUCUCGGCACUUUGGGAGGCCGCGGAAGGAGGCUGCUUGAGCCCAGGUUCUAGAUCAGACUAGGCAAUGUAGCGAGACUCCACCUCUACAAAAAGUUUAAAAAAAAU
ensembl:lincRNA